rnacentral:rRNA from 1 species
UGACGGCGUACCUUUUGUAUAAUGGGUCAUCGACUUGGUCUCUCAAGCAAGCUUAAGCCGUUAGGUGUAGGCGCAGCGAAAGCGAGUCUGAAUAGGGCGAAUGAGUUUGUUGGAUUAGACCCGAACCCCGGCGAUCUAGGCAUGACCAGGCUGAAGGUGCGGUAACACGCACUGGAGGACCGAACCCACGUCUGUUGAAAAAGACGGGGAUGACCUGUGGCUAGGGGUGAAAGGCCAAUCAAACUCGGAGAUAGCUGGUUCUCCGCGAAAUCUAUUUAGGUAGAGCGUCUCGUAUUACCUUCGGGGGUAGAGCACUGGAUGGGCUAGGGGGUCCCAACGACUUACCAAACCU